AUUGAACGCUGGCGGCAGGCCUAACACAUGCAAGUCGAGCGGCACGAAGGACGGGAGAGUACUGAAUAGGUAUCUGUCUUGUAGUGAGGGAUAAGGUCAGGAAACGGACGCUAAUAUCAACUACUAUCAGAUGAGGCUCGGUCGGAUUAGCUAGAUGGUGGGGUAAAGGCCUACCAGGGCGACGGGCCGUAACUGGGAAGAGAGGAUGAUCAGUCACACUGUAACUGAGACACGGUCCAGACUCCUACGGGAGGCAGCAGUGGGGAAUAUUGGACAAUGGGCGAAAGCCGGAUCCAGCCAUGCCGCGUGUGUGAAGAAGGUCUUCGGAUUGUAAAGCACUUUCAGUUGGGAGGCGUUACCAGCAGAAUAAGCACCGGCUAACUUCGUGCCAGCAGCCGCGGUAAUAC
rnacentral:rRNA from 1 species